GACGAACGCUGGCGGCGUGCUUAACACAUGCAAGUCGAACGGAAAGGCCCUGCUUGCAGGGUACUCGAGUGGCGAACGAGUGAGUAACACGUGGGUGAUCUGCCCUGCACUUCGGGAUAAGCCUGGGAAACUGGGUCUAAUACCGGAUAGGAGCCAUUUUUAGUGUGAUGGUUGGAAAGUUUUUUCGGUGUAGGAUGAGCUCGCGGCCUAUCAGCUUGUUGGUGGGGUAAUGGCCUACCAAGGCGGCGACGGGUAGCCGGCCUGAGAGGGUGGACGGCCACAUUGGGACUGAGAUACGGCCCAGACUCCUACGGGAGGCAGCAGUGGGGAAUAUUGCACAAUGGGCGCAAGCCUGAUGCAGCGACGCCGCGUGGGGGAUGACGGCCUUCGGGUUGUAAACUCCUUUCGCUAGGGACGAAGCUUUUUGUGACGGUACCUAGAUAAGAAGCACCGGCUAACUACGUG
rnacentral:rRNA from 1 species